UCCCUGGUGGUUCAAUGGCUGGGACUCUGAGCUCCCAAUGCAGGGGGCCCAGGUUAAAUCCCUGGUCAGGGGG
rnacentral:tRNA from 1 species